GGCCUGCUUUGGGUCGGGGUUUGGGCUCAACCCGAAAUCAUUUGGACUGGGUUCGGGUCAAAAAAUAAGGCCUGUUUUAUUUUCGAACCGGGCUCGGGCAGACUUUUGGCCCGGUCCAGGCCCAAGCUCGAAUUUGGGCCCGAUCAAAGUCUGAUCAAAGUAGCCCACAUGCUCUUAGAUUUGUCCUGCUCCUACUUGAUCGUCAAAGCAGCCCAUUGGCCGUUCCCA
rnacentral:lncRNA from 1 species